ensembl:snRNA U4 U4 spliceosomal RNA
AGCUUUGCGCAGUGGCAGUAUCGAAGCCAAUGAGGUUUAUCCGAGGCGCGAUUAUUGCUAAUUGAAAACUUUUCCCAAAGCCUUUGUCUUUUUGAGUGCUCUGCAUGUGUCUUUAUGUAGACACCAGGAAUAAUCUUGCCAAUGA